AGCACGUGGUUUAAUUCGAUGCAAACCGAAGAACCUUACCUGGGCUUGACAUGUGCGUGUUACUGAGGUGAAAGCCGAGGGACCAUAUCUUCGGAUGUGGAGCGUACACAGGUGCUGCAUGGCUGUCGUCAGCUCGUGUCGUGAGAUGUUGGGUUAAGUCCCGCAACGAGCGCAACCCUCAUUGUUAGUUACUACCAUUCAGUUGAGGACUCUAAUGAGACUGCCAACGACAAGUUGGAGGAAGGUGGGGAUGACGUCAAAUCAUCAUGCCCUUUAUGACCUGGGCUACAAACGUACUACAAUGGCCAAUACAAAGAGAUGCGAAGCGGUGACGUGGAGCGAACCUCAGAAAGUUGGUCUCAGUUCAGAUUGAAGUCUGCAACUCGACUUCAUGAAGGCGGAAUCGCUAGUAAUCGCGGGUCAGCAGACCGCGGUGAAUACGUUCCCGGGUUUU
rnacentral:rRNA from 1 species